ACAGGGGAGGUUAGCAUGUCUUGGAGGUAUGAUCUAACCUCUCACCAUUACCAAUAACAGGGGAGGUUAGCAUGUCUUGGAGGUAUGAUCUAACCUCUCACCAUUACCAAUAACAGGGGAGGUUAGCAUGUCUUGGAGGUAUGAUCUAACCUCUCACCAUUACCAAUAACAGGGGAGGUUAGCAUGUCUUGGAGGUAUGAUCUAACCUCUCACCAUUACCAAUAACAGGGGAGGUUAGCAUGUCUUGGAGGUAUGAUCUAACCUCUCACCAUUACCAAUAACAGGGGAGGUUAGCAUGUCUUGGAGGUAUGAUCUAACCUCUCAC